rnacentral:rRNA from 1 species
CCCUUAGAUGUUCUGGGCCGCACGCGCGCUACACUGAUGCAUUCAACUAGUUUCUUCCUGGUCCGAGAGGAAUGGGUAACCUUUUGAAAGUGCAUCGUGAUAGGGAUAGACUAUUGCAAUUAUUGGUCUUCAACGAGGAAUUCCUAGUAGACGUAGUUCAUCAGACUGCAUCGAUUACGUCCCUGCCCUUUGUACACACCGCCCGUCGCUCCUACCGAUUGAAUGCUCAGGUGAGCCAUUCGGACUUUCAUCAUGCUGGUUUCCAGUUUUGAUGAAGGAAAGUCUUGCGAACCUUAUCAUUUAGAGGAAGGAGAAGUCGUAACA